GGGUAGUUGCAGAAAGCGAUGAGGAGAAAGCAAAGCUAUUAAAUAUUUUUUUCUCCACCGUAUUCACUGAAGAAAAUAAACUGUCAGAUGAAAUGCAGAAUGUAAAAGUAAAUUCCCCAAUAAAAAAGCCCUGUCUGAUCCAGGGAGAAGUACAGCGGCGUCCUAAAAAGAUUAAAAUAGAAAAAUCACCAGGACUAGAUGGCGUACACCCCCGGAUCCUAAUAAAAU